GACAGAGGUGCCGAGCGUUAGGCGGAAUCACUGGGCUUAAAGCGUGUGUAGGCGGGCCGUUAAGUAUCUUGUGAAAUCCCCCGGCUCAACCGGGGAAUGGCUGGAUAUACUGGCGGUCUUGAGCGAUCUAGGGGCAGAUGGAACAAGUGGUGGAGCGGUGAAAUGCGUAGAUAUCACUUGGAACGCCAAAGGUGAAAACAGUCUGCUGGGGAUCUGCUGACGCUAAGACACGAAAGCCAGGGGAGCGAACGGG
rnacentral:rRNA from 1 species